AGAGUUUGAUCCUGGCUCAGGACGAACGCUGGCGGCGCGCCUAACACAUGCAAGUCGAACGAGAGAUGAGGAGCUUGCUCUUCAAAUCGAGUGGCGAACGGGUGAGUAACGCGUGAGGAACCUGCCUCAAAGAGGGGGACAACAGUUGGAAACGACUGCUAAUACCGCAUAAGCCCACGGGUCGGCAUCGACCAGAGGGAAAAGGAGCAAUCCGCUUUGAGAUGGCCUCGCGUCCGAUUAGCUAGUUGGUGAGGUAACGGCCCACCAAGGCGACGAUCGGUAGCCGGACUGAGAGGUUGAACGGCCACAUUGGGACUGAGACACGGCCCAGACUCCUACGGGAGGCAGCAGUGGGGAAUAUUGCACAAUGGGGGAAACCCUGAUGCAGCGACGCCGCGUGGAGGAAGAAGGUCUUCGGAUUGUAAACUCCUGUUGUUGAGGAAGAUAAUGACGGUACUCAACAAGGAAGUGACGGCUAACUACGUGCCAGCAGCCGCGGUAAAACGUAGGUCACAAGCGUUGUCCGGAAUUACUGGGUGUAAAGGGAGCGCAGGCGGGAAGACAAGUUGGAAGUGAAAUCCAUGGGCUCAACCCAUGAACUGCUUUCAAAACUGUUUUUCUUGAGUAGUGCAGAGGUAGGCGGAAUUCCCGGUGUAGCGGUGGAAUGCGUAGAUAUCGGGAGGAACACCAGUGGCGAAGGCGGCCUACUGGGCACCAACUGACGCUGAGGCUCGAAAGUGUGGGUAGCAAACAGGAUUAGAUACCCUGGUAGUCCACACCGUAAACGAUGAUUACUAGGUGUUGGAGGAUUGACCCCUUCAGUGCCGCAGUUAACACAAUAAGUAAUCCACCUGGGGAGUACGACCGCAAGGUUGAAACUCAAAGGAAUUGACGGGGGCCCGCACAAGCAGUGGAGUAUGUGGUUUAAUUCGACGCAACGCGAAGAACCUUACCAAGUCUUGACAUCCCUUGACGAUGCUGGAAACAGUAUUUCUCUUCGGAGCAAGGAGACAG
rnacentral:rRNA from 1 species